AACGAACGCUGGCGGCAUGCCUAACACAUGCAAGUCGAACGAGACCUUCGGGUCUAGUGGCGCACGGGUGCGUAACGCGUGGGAACCUGCCUUUAGGUUCGGAAUAACUCAGAGAAAUUUGAGCUAAUACCGGAUGAUGUCUUCGGACCAAAGAUUUAUCGCCUUUAGAUGGGCCCGCGUUGGAUUAGCUAGUUGGUGGGGUAAAGGCCUACCAAGGCGACGAGCCAUAGCUGGUCUGAGAGGAUGAUCAGCCACACUGGGACUGAGACACGGCCCAGACUCCUACGGGAGGCAGCAGUGGGGAAUAUUGGACAAUGGGCGAAAGCAUGAUCCAGCAAUGCCGCGUGAGUGAUGAAGGACUUAGGGUUGUAAAGCUCUUUUACCCGAGAUGAUAAUGACAGUAUCGGGAGAAUAAGCUCCGGCUAACUCCGUG
rnacentral:rRNA from 1 species